rnacentral:rRNA from 1 species
GAUGAACGCUGGCGGCGUGCUUAACACAUGCAAGUCGAACGGAAAGGCUCCUGCUUGCAGGGGUACUCGAGUGGCGAACGGGUGAGUAACACGUGGGUGAUCUGCCCUGCACUUCGGGAUAAGCCUGGGAAACUGGGUCUAAUACCGGAUAGGACGAUGGUUUGGAUGCCAUUGUGGAAAGUUUUUCGGUGUGGGAUGAGCUCGCGGCCUAUCAGCUUGUUGGUGGGGUAAUGGCCUACCAAGGCGUCGACGGGUAGCCGGCCUGAGAGGGUGUACGGCCACAUUGGGACUGAGAUACGGCCCAGACUCCUACGGGAGGCAGCAGUGGGGAAUAUUGCACAAUGGGCGCAAGCCUGAUGCAGCGACGCCGCGUGGGGGAUGACGGCCUUCGGGUUGUAAACUCCUUUCGCUAGGGACGAAGCGCAAGUGACGGUACCUGGAGAAGAAGCACCGGCCAACUACGUG